UCUGUGGCCAUACCACUCUGAACGCACCCGAUCUCGUCUGAUCUUGGAGGCUAAGUACGGUUGGGCCUGGUUAGUACUUGAAUGGGAGACCACAUGGGAAUACCAGGUGCUGUAAGAA
rnacentral:rRNA from 1 species